UCAAGCUAGAAAGAGCGCAAGGGGAAUGCCUUGGCAUCAGGAGCCGACGAAGGACGUGACAAGCUGCGAUAAGCUUCGGGGAGGAGCAAAUAUCCGUUGAUCCGGAGAUUUCCGAAUGGGGAAACCCACCAGAGCAAUACUCUGGUAUCGUGCGUUGAAUAAAAUAGGCGUACGAGGGGAACGCCCUGAACUGAAACAUCUAAGUAGGGGCAGGAAAAGACAUCAACCGAGAUUCCGCUAGUAGUGGCGAGCGAACGCGGAGGAGGCCAAACCGGAGGAUUUAUUCUCCGGGGUUCGGACUGGCAUCACGAUCAGAGGUAUCUAGAAGAACGGCAUGGGAAGGCCGGCCAUAGAGGGUGAGAGCCCCGUAUUUGAAAGAGAAGACUGACAGCCAGAAUCCAGAGUACCGCGGGACACGUGAAACCCCGUGGGAAGACGGGUGGACCACCAUCCAAGCCUAAAUACUACCUGAUGACCGAUAGAGGAGCAGUACCGUGAGGGAAAGGUGAAAAGGACCCCGGGAGGGGAGUGAAAGAGAACCUGAAACCUUGUGCUUACAAGCACUCAAAGCACGUUAAGGUGUGAUGAGGUACUUUUUGUAGAACGGUCCGGCGAGUUAUAGUAACGAGCAAGCUUAAGGUAUUCAGUACCGGAGGCGAAGCGAGAGCGAGUCUGAAUAGGGCGCAUAAAGUUCGUUGCCAUAGACCCGAAACCGGGUGACCUAACCAUGAGCAGGCUGAAGUGAGAGUAAAAUCUCAUGGAGGGCCGAACGCACGUUCGUUGCAAUGACCGGCGAUGACUUGUGGUUAGCGGAGAAAUUCCAAUCGAACUCGGAGAUAGCUGGUUCUCCCCGAAAUAGCUUUAGGGCUAGCCUCGAUUUAGAUUACCGGGGGUAGAGCACUGAAUGGGCUAGGGGGCCACAAAGCUUACCGAACCCUAUCAAACUUCGAAUACCGGAUAAUUGAUGAUCGGGAGUCAGACAGUGUGAGAUAAGUUUCAUUGUCGAAAGGGAAACAGCCCAGAUCUACGACUAAGGUCCCAAAGUUCAAGUUAAGUGGAAAAGGAUGUGCAAUUGCGUAGACAACCAGGAUGUUGGCUUAGUAGCAGCCAUUCAUUCAAAGAGUGCGUAAUAGCUCACUGGUCGAGUGAUUGUGCGCCGAAAAUGUAACGGGGCUAAACUUGACACCGAAGUCUAGGCAGAAGUAAACUUCUGGGUAGGGGAGCAACGUGUACGGGCAGAAGCAGAAGCGGAAGCGACUGUGGACUGUACAGGAGAGAGAAUGCCGGCAUGAGUAGCGAGAGCAAAGUGAGAAUCUUUGCCGUCGAAAGCCUAAGGUUUCCUGAGGAAGGCUCGUCCUCUCAGGGUAAGUCGGGACCUAAGCCGAGGACAAUAGUCGUAGGCGAUGGACAAUCGGUUAAUAUUCCGAUACCGCCGAGCAACCGGAUGCAGUGACACAGAAGGAUAGGCAGAGCGUGGCGAUGGUAGACCACGUCCAAGCAGUGAGGCUGUUGUGUAGUGAAGUACGCACAACGGAAGGCUGGGCUGUGAUGGGGAACGAUUACGAUCGGUAAGCUGCUGAAUUCACGCUGGCGAGAAAAGCUGCUACGAAGCGAAGGCGCCCGUACCGCAAACCGACACAGGUAGGCGAGGAGAGAAUCCUAAGACGAGCGGGAGAACCCUUGUUAAGGAACUCGGCAAAAUGACUCCGUAACUUAGGGAGAAGGAGUGCCCAGGAAUGGGCCGCAGAGAAUAGACCCAAGCGACUGUUUACCAAAAACACAGGUCUGUGCGAAGUAGAGAUACGACGUAUACGGGCUGACGCCUGCCCAGUGCCGGAAGGUUAAGGGGAAGUGUUAGGGCAACCGAAGCACGGAACUUAAGCCCCGGUGAACGGCGGCCGUAACUAUAACGGUCCUAAGGUAGCGAAAUUCCUUGUCGGGUAAG
rnacentral:rRNA from 1 species